AUUGAACGCUGGCGGCAGGCCUAACACAUGCAAGUCGAGCGGAGCGGCGGACGGGUGAGUGAUGCCUAGGAAUCUGCCUGGUAGUGGGGGAUAACGUCCGGAAACGGGCGCUAAUACCGCUUACUAUCAGAUGAGCCUCGGUGGGAUUAGCUAGUUGGUGGGUUAAAGGCAAACCAAGGCGGCGAACCGUAACUGGUCUGAGCGGAUGAUCAGUCAAACUGGAACUGAGAAACGGUCAAGACUCCUACGGGAGGCAGAAGUGGGGAAUAUUGGACAAUGGGCGAAAGCCUGAGCCAGCCAUGCCGCGUGUGUGAAGAAGGUCUUCGGAUUGUAAAGCACUUUAAGUAGGGAGGCGUUACCAACAGAAUAAGCACCGGCGAACUACGUGCCAGCCGCCGCGGUAAUUC
rnacentral:rRNA from 1 species